rnacentral:rRNA from 1 species
UACGUAGGGCGCAAGCGUUGUCCGGAAUUAUUGGGCGUAAAGAGCUCGUAGGUGGUUUGUUACGUCUGCUGUGAAAGCCUAGGGCUUAACCCUGGGCCUGCAGUGGAUACGGGCAGACUAGAGGUAGGUAGGGGAGAAUUGAAUUCCUGGUGUAGCGGUGGAAUGCGCAAAUAUCAGGAGGAACACCGGUGGCGAAGGCGGGUCUCUGGGCCGAUCCUGACACUGAGAAGCGAAAGCGUGGGGAGCGAACAGG